CCCAAAAAAGGGGGACUUGGGCCCUCUUGCCAUCAAAAUGUGCCCAGAUGGGAUUAGCUAGUAAGUUGGGGUAAUGGCUCACCUAGGCGGACGAUCCCUAGCUGGUCUGAGAGGAUGACCAGCCACACUGGAACUGAGACACGGUCCAGACUCCUACGGGAGGCAGCAGUGGGGAAUAUUGCACAAUGGGCGCAAGCCUGAUGCAGCCAUGCCGCGUGUAUGAAGAAGGCCUUCGGGUUGUAAAGUACUUUCAGCGAGGAGGAAGGCAUUGUGGUUAAUAACCGCAGUGAUUGACGUUACUCGCAGAAGAAGCACCGGCUAACUCCGUGCCAGCAGCCGCGGUAAUACGGAGGGUGCAAGCGUUAAUCGGAAUUACUGGGCGUAAAGCGCACGCAGGCGGUCUGUCAAGUCGGAUGUGAAAUCCCCGGGCUCAACCUGGGAACUGCAUUCGAAACUGGCAGGCUAGAGUCUUGUAGAGGGGGGUAGAAUUCCAGGUGUAGCGGUGAAAUGCGUAGAGAUCUGGAGGAAUACCGGUGGCGAAGGCGGCCCCCUGGACAAAGACUGACGCUCAGGUGCGAAAGCGUGGGGAGCAAACA
rnacentral:rRNA from 1 species